CUAGAAGGGAUGGACAAAAAGCAAUUCAUUCUCAUAAUACCCUUAAGCCUAAGAAGUAAUUCAUAAUAUCCCUACUCUGUUUCUCACCUUUUUAGUGGCAGGAAGAAAGUUGCCAGAAGGUUGAGUGAGUCACCCACAGUCAUAAAGCCGGGAGGGCCUGUCCAAAGAAUGGAAGCCUAACCCCCUUCUGACAUGGUUAUCCAUGGCUCAGAACAUGAAGUCUCAUACAAAGCAAAUCCUGAUUUGAAUAAGAGCUUCACGACACUCUGGUUAUAUUACCUCCUCUUCAACGUUUCACCUAUUCUUCCUCAAAUCUUGCCUGAAGAUCUUUGCAAAGGCCGUUCCCUCUGCCUGGGAAAUGUCCUUCCUCCUUUUCUGGGUUACAUAAGACUGCAACUUCCAUCUUGCUGAUCACCUUCUCACCUUACAUGCUUUGAUGAAGCAAGCUCACAUGUUGGAAAAGCUCAAGGAAUUGAAUCCUGGCAACAACCACAUGAGUCUGGGAGUGGAUGCUUCACCCAGUCAACCUUCAGAUGAGAUCCCUGCCCUAGCCAACACCUUGAUUACAGCCUUGUGAGAGACCCUGAAGCUGAGUACUUAGCUAAGCAUGCCUCAACUCCUAACCCUCAGAAACUAAGAGAUAACAAAUGUGUGUAGUGUUAAGCCACUAAGUCUUGGGGAUAAUUUCUUACACAGCAAUAGGUAGCUAAUAAGACAAAUAAGUGAGUAAGUCAGUAAGUGAAUGGAUGAAACUGAAGACCUCACUAAAGGAAGGGGAAACUAAGACCUGGUGGAGGUGAGGGGGUAGUGUAGAGAGAGUGGACUGAUAUGCUCAAAGACAAUUGUCCAUGCUUCCUGUUUGAUUUUGUUUCUCUCAACCAUAGAAUCUGAAGGAGGUGUUUUGGGGAAAACUCUUCCAAAGUUUUUAGAAUCAGAAAUUCAAUAGGUGAGUGGACAUUUUAUAUGCCCAGGCACUAUCUGAUAUCAUUCAUAAGUAUUUGUGUUUGUAGAUGAAUAGCAAAGAUACAUCCUCAGUGAUACCAAUUCAGAUGCAGUUUAUAUCAAAACAUACAGUCUAGCUUGGGAAGCCUUUAUUUUAAGUAGCUGUAUUUUAAAUCUUGAUCCAAGUGACCCACUCAGAUCAUCUUUGUCUCAUGUGUAGUUGACACUGAACAUGGAAACAGCAUUAAUAAGUUGGAAUAGGUUAGUGGGCUUUGAGUCUGCAAUCCAGAUGUAAACAAUAUAAAAUCCUUGAUAGAGCUAUAAAUACCAGCUUUAUCAAUAGCUCUCGUAAUUUACAAUUUUCCAAUGCAUUUCAAAAUGCUGACUCUCACCUUUUUCCUAGAUUGGUUUCUUCACUUCAGAGUGAUAAAAGAGUGCAAAAAAUAAUGAUAUACUUUGGAGUGCAUUCGUGUUCCAACAUCCAGUUUUAAUGGAGGCCUACAAAGAAGUUCCUUUUCUGCCUUCUUAAAUGUCGUAUUUUCCUGCCCAGUUACACAUGGGAAAUAUAAUUGGUUAUGGAAUUUCCCUUGGAUUAAGCUUGUUUCAAUAGGAACUACUAAUUACUUUAUCACUGUGGCAUUGUAAUCUGCCCUAACAUUUAAAGUUUAUUUGCUCUCAAAUAAAGGGCAUUUGGUCUUCCUA